UGCGAAUUGAACAACUCUGAUGAGAGCUGGCUUUAUUCAGUGAAGUGGCUGUAGCAUGCGUUUCAUGGUGCAGCCUUGACACAGUAAUCCAGCCCUUCUGACAACUGUUAGAUUCACUGAGGUUAAAGGGGAUUUGCAUUGUGAUUUUUCUAAUCAGACCCCAACCUGUGCUUUGAUUUGGUAACACUGUUGCUGGACAGCGUGAAAGGCUCAGAUUCCAAUAUGAUUUCACAACCAGCAGCAGCUACCAAGG
rnacentral:lncRNA from 1 species